CUGCGAAUAUAAAGACAGAAGAAAAUCUGCGUUUAAAUCUCGAUGGAGCGGAUGUGGAGUCAUUACAUUAGGUGGUCUCCCUCCUCUGUGAUGCCCCUGGUUUUAAUGUUAUCCGACGCAGUGACGUCACGCGAUAUAAACCGGACUUUAAACCAGGUACCGUCACCCUGAAAACCAUCUUAUACCAUGGAAAUGUUUGGCUUGUUAAAAUGUGAAGUUUAAUACUGUCCUGUAUUUGCUCUGAGGAAAUAAAUCUGAUUCAUUAAA